UAUAUAUAUAUAUAUAUUUCUAUAAUGAGUGUAACAUUUACUUUAGUUAGAAUUUAUUUAGUAAAAUACAUACGUCACAUUAUAAAACGUAUGCACAAACAUGCCAGCCAGCGACUGAUCCCUGCCUCGAUCACUUUUUCGAAAACCAAUUUCUGCCUCUUCUUUGUGAUGCUGUCCUGAAUCUAAUAAUAAAAAAAAUAUUUUAAUAAGCAACAAUCAUAGAUAUUGCGGUAAUAGCUGGGAAUGAUUAUAUUCUAAUUUGUUUGUAGUUAGUCAUCAAUAAUCUCGUUUUAGCUAAAUUAUUAUGUGCCGCCAUUAUCAUCGUAAGCUUCUGUGGAACUAACAUUUUACAGAUUAGGAGAUUUAUUAAGAGCGGAUUUUAGUCAGUGAGUUGACGGAUUUUAGACACAGUAACGUAAUUAUUUAUUAGUAGGCUAGCUUUCCUCGGCCACCUACCCACGCGCGCUUCUUUUUCCAAGCUGUUGUACCGUCUGUACUUAUCAAGCUUGGACAUUAUGUUAGUUUAGGUUUUGUGCUUACUUUAUCAUCACAAUGCCCAUUCUGAGUAUUUAAACAUAUGUUCCGGGGUCGCCGAGAGGUGAGGAUAUACAUACAUUUGUAACGUGUAUAGAACUUGGGAUGCGUCCGUUACAUUUAUUCUCCGUGAAUUUCAUAUUACUAUUAUUAUUAAUUAAGUUAAUAGUACAAGUUGCUUUUCCUUGGAUGUGAGAGUGGUGUCAGUCUCUUGGAGAUUGUCGCUGGAAGGACAUCGCGCUAAAAAGACAAGAAAUUUAACCCGAAGAUGAAGCAAUGGGAUGCAGUGAUGGAGGCAACUGCAGUAGGUGCUCGGAGACAGUCUUCGGUGGGUACCCUCCAGGUUUCUCCCGUUUUAUAUAUAUAUAUAUAUAUAUGGGGUGUGGCUGUGUCAUGGACACGGCCUUGUGUUGUACGUGAAUAAGUAAUAUUUUCUAUACAAAAUAUAAAAUACUAUAUUUUUUUAUUUUAACACCAUAUAAAUUCACUGUAACUGUUUUACACUAAAGUUUUAUAUAUGCAAUCGAUAGAUUUUGACGAGAGCUGACGAUUGAAACUCAAACGAACGUCGCAGCUUCUCCGAGUCAAAAGUUACAUUACAUGGAAAUCUCGAAACGCAGCAAAAUGACCUCAAAACGGCGGCGCUUCCCCCUCCACCGCGCGCGAUGCGUCACAGUCCUCAUUUAGCGUAACGAAUUCGGCGAUCCUUAGCUAUCCAGUGGCGUAAUUAAAUUUUGGAUGGAGAUGAUAGACAUGUAGCUGCUACACCAAACUGUAUCCCCCGAUUUUAUCAUCAUUCUAUUUUUUUUAUUGCCUCCCACUAUGGAAGCAAUUUUAAAGAUGUAUUCACGUCAAAAAAAAAUCCUGACUAUCCACAGGGUAUCGAACCCGAAUCCCGGUGGUCUUUGGCUGCAGGAAGUGUGGCAGCUCGUUGUGCGGCAUGUUGCGCUCGGCUCGCAUCGGCAGAAUGAGACUUCCUUGUCCCGUGUUGUGAAACCUGGCAGUGACCCACAAUUCUUGGAUCGGUAGUGGGGCUGGAGGUGGUCUUCGCUCGUGUGUGGGGAGGCGGUGAAGGAGAGGCAGUUUGCAAGACGCCCGGAGCAGGACGGCCCUGCACUAUACAAGCAGCAGGGAGCUGUCAAUACAUAGGGCCUACGAUGUGCUUAUUGUACUGAAACGAUUCCGUCUGUACCAACAUCGUAAUGUCAUUCACAUUCAAAGCUAAUUUAUAUAUUUUUUAUUUUCAAUUAUGUGAUUUGAUGGGGGACGCACCACAACGCCGAAAUACCACAACGCCGACCGUACAAUAACACCGAAUACUAUAACGCCGAACGUCAAAAUUGACCACAACGCCGACAGCUAGAAAACUGCUGUGUACAACACCGCCGAAUUACCACAACGCCGAAAAAUGUCAUUGCAGGACUGCCACAAAGGUUGCGUUAGGUAAGGUUAGCACACAAAUUCAUUCAGUUGUUUUUCAUUUUGCUGAUGUGGCCCCCCUUCCCCGCAAAAUCAUUUUUCGGCGUUGUGGUAAUUCGGCGUUGUGGUACAAAGCAGUUUUCUAGCUGUCGGCGUUGUGGUCAAUUUUGACAUUCGGCGUUAUGGUAUUCGGCGUUAUUGUACGUUCGGCGUUGUGGUAACGACCCGAUUUGAUGAAUAAACUGUAAUUUUACUUUCUAAAUAUGAUUAUUUAGUGUUGAGGAAACCACUUUAAAACGUUUUAAAUAAAAGAGUGAAUCAACAAAUUUUACAUCGUCAGGUGAAUGCCCGUGUGUUUUAGGUAUAUUAAAAAAAAUUACUACUUAUUGUAGCUGUUACCAUGGCCCUUCUUCGGAAAAAAAAAUUAUAUAGUUUAUCGUUUCGUGGUCCAUAUACCCUAAAACCAUUGUCACCUCAAAAGUUUAUAUAUAUUUAUGUUUAUACAUAUAAUUACAUUUUUAUGGACACGAUAACAGCAGUAAUUUUGCCAAAAUCACUUCAAAAUUGACACAUAAAAUAUAGUAAAGGAAAAUCUCAGUCGAGUUUGUUAAUGAUAAAAAUCCGAGUAGGAUAAUUCCUGCAAGGGGUUGAAUAAAACAGGAGCAGAAAAAGAAAUCAUAAUUCCCAUACCAUGUAUGCUAUCAAAACUAUUCUUAUUUAUUGUGAAACCUUAAAACAUUAUCUAUAAAUUUCAUCCUAAAUAAUUUUUGCACGACUAACAUUACUCCAAGGGGUGUAAAAUAACAGGGAUUAAAGGACGAAGAAAGGAAUAACUCCCUUAGUAAGUACACUAUUAAUUCCUUUCAAAUUGUUUGUAAAUCUUAUAAAUAUUAGCUAAAAUUCUGUCUGAAAUAAUUUUUGAUAUAACCAAACAUUGUUGCUAAGGGUGGAAUAAACAGGGAUUAAAGGUAAAAAUAUAAUAAAAAAUCAUAACUCCCAUAUUAUGUAAACUAUAAAAUUUAUUACAAUAAAUUGUAAAUCUUCUAAAAAUUAUUUUAAACUUUGGUCUAAAACAAUUUUUGAUAAGACGAACCAUUACUGCAAGAGGUUGAAAAAAACAUGGGUUGGAAUAAAAAGAAUAAAUAAAAACUUACGUACAAUGUAAAAAACACCCCCCCCCCCCCCAACCCAAAAAAAAACCAUGACAUUUUAAGUAGGUAUAUAGAGUAAACGUGCCUAAAAUGACAUACCUUUUUUUUCGGCCCAAAAUUUAAAGCCAAACAUGAAAUAAAAUUUAAUAAUUAGAUUGAUAUUAAUUCUGAUAAUUUUUUUUGUUUGGUUGGGCCAAAGCUUUUAAAUAAUGUUCCUUCAAUUUAAUUUUGGCAAUUAAAAAAGUUACCAAUGUGUUAUUUUAGGCUUCUAUCUGUAAAAUGACAUAUAUAUAUAUACAUUACAUUUUCCUUUAGAAGAAAACACUUCUUAAUUGUAAAAUACUUAAACCACGUUACAAUUAAUGAAACCUUAUUUGGUUAACCACUAAUUUGUGAUUCUAACAGCAAAGAUCACACAUAUAAAAUUUUUUUUCCCCAGGAAGUCUAGCACAUUCACUGUGUGCCCACUUUUUACACUGACAGCAUUGCAGCCAAGUUUCCUUAGGUUUCGACCGAGAUAAACGUUUGUUGCUGUAAAGUCAAUGGCAGUCAUCGUCGGCAUCAUCUCAAAAAAGUUAUUUUUCGCAGCUAAUUUCAUUAUCCAUAGUAAAUAGUUUUCUUGCUUUCCAGACCGACUUCCGCUGUUCUUUCGAGUUCUUCUGCUACUUUAUUUUUUAACGCCAGUAGGUAUGGACUGGUUGUCAAAACCUGCAGGUGCAGGGUUUUUCUUGCAUUUUCUCUUCUUUCCACGUCUAGUUGCCUGAGGAAGGGGUGAAAUUGUAGCAAUAGAAACUUUCUUAGUAGGGGUAGGUUGGCUAUCGUCGUUUGCUCUAUCAUUAUCUUCGAGGUUUGAAGGCGUGAUGUCUGAUGAUUUUCUUGAGCAUGGUUUUCAUUGUUCUGAAUAUCAUCAUCAGCAAAUGUUCACAUGUACCUACUGUAUUAUACAUACUGAAUUAUACUUACGCGUAUAAGUUCCUGGGAGUUCUGAGUCACUGACUUGAUUUACUAUUGGUAGACCGGAGUGCAAACCUGGUACCGUCGGUAGUUCAUCUUCUAGUGGAAGUGGACUUUUUGUUGUUUCGGCUGGCUCAAACAAGUGGUCCGUAAAUUAACUUGCCAAAGUCCUGUUUUUUGAAAACCACUUAACAGCAAUAGCUAAAGUGGCUGUUUUUCCAUACGCAACUCAGUUCACCAGUCUUCUAGGAUGAUUCUUAAGCCAUUUGGUUACUUCGUGGUCGUAAUGAGUCUUGAGAGGGCCGUAAAUCGACACUUCAACCAGCUGUAACUGAUGAGUGCAAUGAGCAGGUAAACAUAACAUCACUAUUCCAUUUUUUUUGCAUAUGUCAGUACAUCCACUUGAAUGCCAAUCUACAAGAAUGAGAUUUUUUUUUUGGUAGGCUUGACAAAAGAUGAAAAAUACCUCAACCCUGUUAGGAAAUUUUCGCCUGUCAUCCAACCACUUUCAUGUGUAAUGCACAAGGUUCCAUAGGGAGCAUUAUCUGUUAAUUAUCUUCUAGUUUUUACAUGGAAAUAUUAUAACAGGAGGAAAAAGGCCAACAGGACUCAUACAACGGACUACAGUAGCAUGUGUUAGUAAACGUGUGUAAACUCUGUGUUAGCUAUAGCUCCCAUCUGUUUCCUGUAGUAACUUUUGUGUGUUUUGAACUGUAGACAAGCUGGAGUCAUUCAAAUUAUAAAUUCCAUUGAUGCCUAUGUUGUGACUGUGUGAGUCUCUUAUAUUUAUUGAAAAAAUUACUGACUUGCUGUUUGUUUAAAGCCAUCGCCUGUGCUGCAGAAGUUGCUUCGGGUUUUCUUAAAGAUAUAUCCAGAUAACACUUCAAACCCAAUUAGCCAUUUGCUUUUCUCUGUUGAAACGGUGGACUAAUCCCAUUUAUUUCUGUUAGUUGAUAAGCAAGUUUUCGUACUUCUGUGCAUGUGAGGCUAAAUAAACGGGAUUUCAAAAGUUUCUAGUGGGUCACAAGUUCACGUUCUAGAGCUUCGUCGAAUGUGGGAUGAAAAUGGCUCAAACCUUUGUUUACACCAUUAAAGAUUUUAUUUUUGAUUUUCGCUCUUCUGCGAAGAGUAGCCUGGGUACACCAAAUCUCUUUGCAGCUAGAAGUCAGCCUAUUACUCCCGUGGUAACUGCAUCUAUAGCUCUGUGCAUUGCCACUACCUCUAAGGAUUGCUGGGAUUUCCUUUUGUAGCUUUCAACCAUCUGCGAACAUAUCCCAAAACGUAGCUGUAAAACUUGGUACUGUAAGGUAUUUAUCAUGCUAGGACCAAUUUUAUUUUUGACACCACAUAUCUUAAAAGUGCAAGAUACUGCAAGUAGCUACUUUAUUUGCCUAUAUUUAAAAGGCAUUGUGUUAAGAGAAAUACAUUUUAAAGCCUUAUAUUAUAUAUAUAGUUGAUAGCAUUUAAGUCAUUAAUAGUUAAAUUGUUAGGUUAAGCCUAAUAAUAUAUGGUAAUUCGUCAUUUCUGCUCUCGUCGGUUCGAGAAGGGCGCCUCGAGUACUCAGCGACGCCGGCCUCCGCGACAGUUUUUGGCGACGAGUUCCGCGACAGUUCCGAGCGAGGAGAGUUCGGAGAGUUCCGCGAGUGAAGGGAAGUGCGACAACGGCGAAGAGGGUGUGAGACCCCCUCGAGAGUGGCGCGACGCGGAGCGACGGGAUCGUGAGAGUGCGGCGAUUGAGUGACGCGAGAUGUGUGUGUGGCCAGGCGCGUUGUAAGGGGCGAACCACUGUUUAGCCUAGCUCCAGAGAGGAGUGCGAACUGUGGAACUUUGCAGACAUGAGAAUAAACAUUUUUAAGUGCCAGUGAUUUUUAUCGGACAUUUUUAAGUACAAUUAUUUAUUGUCAAUGUAAAUUUUAGUAAUUAAUAAAACUGUAAUAAAACUUAAUUGGGCUAUCCUUUUCGAACCCAGUUCUCCCAACAUUAAAUCGUAACAAUAUGAUCAUCUGUAGUGCGCAGAAAGCCAAAACACCUGGUAUGUCAUUUUAUCCUAGUCCCACCAAAAAGUUUAUAUAUAUAUAUAUAUAUAUAUAUAUAUGCACACACACACACACACAGAGAGAGAGAGAGAGGGAGAGGGAGAGAAUGUCAAGAACUGAACGUCAAUCCGAGAACAUUUGAAAAUAUGGCUAAUUAAAGCAAAUAAUUUGCCAAGGUAGCAAAGUAUUUAUUUUUAUAGUGUGAAUAGUCAAAGUUACCCAAUUACAAUUUAUUGUUGCAUAAGUUGUGCAAAGAAUUUCCCCCCCCUAAAAGUAUAUAAUGUUUUGAUUUUAUUUUGAAUAAAUUGUUAUCAAUAGUAGGGUGAUUUAUGAUUGCGUGGCAAACAUUUUUAGUCACGGUAUCUAAUAAUUUGAUGCAGGAUGGGGAUUUAAAACUUAAAAAAAAAAAAAAAAAAUCAUAAUUGGACAUCUACAACACUUUUUGGAUUUUUUUUAUUCAGAACAGUAAUGAAUUGGCGAAGCAACUGUUCUCGGAUUUACAUUGAGUUCUGGGACAUGUAUAUUGUUAAGUAUUGAUAACAUCAGUCGGAUUAAAUUUUAUUCCAAAAACAUUUUUUUUGCGUAGCUUUAUGCUUUAAAAAAUACUGAUGGUAGAUUAAAUCUGAAUUGAUUUUACUUGAAUAAUUUAUUUCUAAAACCCUUAACGCCAUUAAAAAAAUAAGAUUUUUAAAAAAGUUGAAUAAGUUUUAAAAAACCGUGCAAAUCCACGCGUUUUUCCUCACGAGAAUUAUAACUGCAGCCAGAGCCGUCGAGAAGGAUAAUGUUAUAAUGUAAACACGUGGUGUCUUGGUUGCCAAAUACCCCGUGCCCGUGCAUUGAGGGGGGCCCGGUUGAGUUCCGAAAGAUUUUUUUUAUGCUUGUGGUUACCCUGAUAGUAGGACAAAAAUUACAAUUCUGUCGCUAAUAAAGUUCAUUGGAAACCUUGCAAAUUAUAUGUUCUUUGAAUUGUUCCUGUAAUGGGGAAGAUCGAUUAAAGAUUUUUUUUUGGGAGCAAGCGCCAUUGCUGGUUACACUGUAUGUCAUGAGAAACCUCAACAAUGGACAAAACAAUAUGAAUAUGCAAAAACACAGAAAACAAGCAAAAAUCAGCCCAUGUCAAAAAUUUAAUAAAAGCACAAUAUUCCUUGGUAGGAAUUAGUAAAAAAAAAAAAAAAAAAUACACUACUGACAGAGACAGUGGGUUGAUGACGUCUAGACAGUUGCGACAAGAACAGUGAAUACAAAAAAACAAUCAUCUUUGGACAACAGCAACAGAGGAUCGCAAAAAUUAUUCAAAACAAAUAAUAUGGACAGUACAACGACCAUACAGCAACGUACAUGUGAACCCGAUGAAAUUAAAAAAAAAUAUUCUGGACAACACACAUUCGCAUCUGUACAUUGUUCAUUAAGUAAUGUGGAGGAUCCAGAUGUUUUUUUCCCCUGGCUCUUAGUUUCUCUGAACGGCUCUGGCUGUAGCGUAAUUUUUACUAUAUUUUCUACAUUGUUACAUUACAUAAAAACAGGUACAUUAACAAUCUGACCUGUUAGUAAAUAAAAUGCAAUGACACUUUGAACUUACGAAUUAAUUGUGAAGACUGCAUCGAUGAGAGUCGUUAAGUUUUUCUCUCUGCUAGUAAAAACAUUGCUUUGAGAAGAAACAAUAUUUUAGUCAAAAUUUUUAUUAUUAAUUUACAAUCUCAUUCGAAUGAUCUUACUUUCUGAGUUAUUUUAGAGAUAUUUGGUUUAUAUUUAUUAAUUUUUUUGUAAUUACAACUUUAUUUGUAAAAAAAAAACAUUUAUUUCUAAAUCGGUUAGUGAAUUAAAUAAUCUAAGUUGUUUGUUAUAAAAUUCGAAAUUUUGAUUGAUUCUUGUUUAAAUAUUUAACGAGCUGGAUUAUUUGUGUGUUCCAAUUAUCAGGACAAGUAUAGAUAAUGUAGCAAUGGUCAUGGUGGACGCUUGGAAGUUAAGGAAAAAAUUGUUAAAUUUUCUCAUUCAAGACCGUACAUGUUAUUUUGGGUUAUGCAAGGUGAGCUGUUACAACACCUACGAUUUAAACUGUGUGAAAAGCCGCAUCGCCGACGGCUAUUUUUAUUUAGGCCCCUAUGUCAGUGUGUGUCAAUAAUAAUGUAAUUUUUUUUAAACAUGUUCAAUUUUUUCUGUACUUUUUUCCCCCCAGAUCUCCUUUACCCCCUUACCAAAACGGGGAAAAAAAUUUCCUGUAUCCGCCACUGAAAUGUAGUAAUGGUUUUAAUAAAAUACCUCAACGAAACGGUAUGCUAUUUCGACUCGCCCUUCUCUUGAACGAAAACUAGCUUAUAGACAGAGUAUGCACAUAUUGCGCUCUGGGUUACCCGGGAAAGGAGGGUUGUGCAUUUGUUACCGCGCCACAAUGGGUGAUUGUGAUCCUGCGCGGGAUUGGCCGGAGCCUGCGGGCUCCAGUAAUUAUUCACAGUUGACGGUGGCCAAAUAAUCACUAACUGCGCACACGGUAUUGAUUUUCUGCCUGCCAACGACUCCUCUUGCGCACGACUUGACAGGUUACCGGGUUUCUGUGGUUCUGCGCUUGCGUUCGCCCUUGUCGGUUUGCCACAUUUCCAGCGCGUUGCUAUGUAUGCUAUGGCGACUAUAAUUGCCUAUUUUUAUUGAAACAAAAUACCUCGCAGUAAACUGGCAAAAAAAAUGUACAUAUUAUUGCGGGACUUUGACGAAAUAUAUUAAUUUAAUAUUUUUGAAAUUGUAAGAGAAAAAUUAGUUCAUAAGUAGCAUGACUAUUUUUUUUAUGUGAACAUAAGAACAAACAAAAUAAAUUUUAUUUACGUGAACAAAAAAAUAAACCGGGAAUGAUGUUCAAUAAUUCAUCCGUGUACACAGUGCUACCAACUGUACAAUGUUUGUCGGUGGUUGCAACUCUUUACAAAUACGUAUUAUUUUGUCGGCAGCCUUUCAUCGUCAGUACAUUGUUUAGUUUGUUUCCCGGUAUAUUAUCAUACUAGUAAUUAUAAUAUUUUUUUUGCAUAAUGUACAUUUUAAAUAAAAAUUUGACAUGUGUCAUUGUAGUACGAGUUUGGCAAUUGUGUUUACACCACAAAAAUGGUUGUUACUUGCGUUUAGUGCUCUCUGAUAAUGUGUGAUUAAAAUAAAAUAACUGCGAAUUUAGACAAGGUGUAAUAAAUGCAACGUUAUAUUAAGACCGAUUGUUAUUCUUUUGUGUUUUAAAUACGCCAGACUAUGUGAUAGUUAAUAUUUUGUUUUCUCAGUAACAAUUCAAGCGUAAUGUUUGUUGUGACUGUCUGUUCGCAAUUAAUGUCAAAGAAGGCACACUGAAUGGAAAAGCAAUGAAAUCGCUUCCAUGGCGGGUUUUUGCAGUAAAAUGUUUAGUAACGUGUGUUAAUUAUGCCGGACAAUGUGAAAUGAAUCAAAAUAACAAGACAGUGACAUUUUAUUCUUCAAAAAAUACUCGGAGAAAAGAUAUGAGGUUUAAUGAUAUAUUACGUGACCCUUCUGCAUUAGAAUCUUUUUUGGGACUGAGUGCUGAGAUGAAUUCAGCUCUCUUCCUCAGAUUUGGGAUUGGUAGUGCCAUGGUGGGGAUGUUUAUCCUUGAAUUGCUAAGCAAUCUACCCACCAACCUAUGUUAAGACUUCGGGCAGAAAUUUCGUCAGUUGAAACACACAUUCCAACUUAAUCGCAGUCUGCUUCUUCCGUGACAGCAAUAUUCAUUUCAUUCACAGCAGGGCUCAGAUCGCGCGACGCUGGAGAGCAUCGUGGACUCGCUACAGCAGGGAUUGCUGGAGGUGGCUGGAGCAAGACAUUCC